rnacentral:sRNA from 1 species
CACCGCCUGGGGAGUACGACCGCAAGGUUAAAACUCAAAUGAAUUGACGGGGACCCGCACAAGUAGUGGAGCAUGUGGUUUAAUUCGAAGAUACGCGCAGAACCUUACCAACACUUGACAUGUUCGUCGCGACUUUAAGAGAUUAAAGUUUUCGGUUCGGCCGGACGAAACACAGGUGCUGCAUGGCUGUCGUCAGCUCGUGUCGUGAGAUGUUGGGUUAAGUCCCGCAACGAGCGCAACCCUCACUUUUAGUUGCCAUCAUUUAGUUGGGCACUCUGAAAGAACUGCCAGUGAUAAGCUGGAGGAAGGUGGGGAUGACGUCAAGUCCUCAUGGCCCUUACGUGUUGGGCUACACACGUGCUACAAUGGUAUCUACAACAGGAAGCAAGACGGCGACGUUAAGCAAAUCCUUAAAAGAUACCUCAGUUCGGAUUGCACUCUGCAACUCGAGUGCAUGAAGCUGGAAUUACUAGUAAUCGUGGAUCAGCGUGCCACGGUGAAUGCGUUCCUGGGUCUUGUACACACCGCCCGUCACACCAUGGGAGUUGGUUCUACCUUAAGGCAAGGUUUUAAACCCUUGACCACGGUAUAGUCAGCGACUGGGGUGAAGUCGUAACAAGGUAGCCGUAGGGGAACCUGCGGCUGGAUUACCUCCUUUCUAAGGAUGAGUGAAAUUAAUUUCAUUCUAAAUAAUAUACAUAGGUAAUGUUGACCGUCCUCAUUUCUCUUCUUAAAGUAGUGUUUCUCUUGCAUGGGGGCCGGUAGCUCAGUUGGUUAGAGCACACCCUUGAUAAGGGUGGGGUCGAAAGUUCGAGUCUUUCUCGGCCCACCAUUUUAAAUUUUAUUUAAGGGGGAUUAGCUCAGCUGGGAGAGCGCCUGAUUUGCAUUCAGGAGGUCAGCGGUUCGAUCCCGCUAUCCUCCACCAAAAAACACUUAGUUAUAAAAAAUUGUAAAUAAAAAUAAAUAAUAUCAAUAUCUAUAUCCGAACAUUAAUUUUGUUAUUAGUUAAUGUUCAAAAUAAAAAUUUGAUUCAACACAGAAUUUUUUUCUG